UAGCGGCAGGCUUAAUACAUGCAAGUCGUGGGGCAGCACAGGUAGCAAUACUGGGUGGCGACCGGCAAACGGGUGCGGAACACGUACGCAACUUUCCCAAAACUGGUGAAUAGCCCUCCGAAAGGAGGAUUAAUACACCGUAACAUAAUGAAGUGGCAUCACUUUAUUAUUAUAGCUCCGGCGGUUUUGGAUGGGCGUGCGCCUGAUUAGGUAGUUGGCGGGGUAACGGCCCACCAAGCCUGCGAUCAGUAACUGGUGUGAGAGCACGACCAGUCACACGGGGCACUGAGACACGGGCCCGACCCCUACGGGAGGCAGCAGUAAGGAAUAUUGGUCAAUGGACGCAAGUCUGAACCAGCCAUGCCGCGUGAAGGAUGAAGGCCCUCUGGGUUGUAAACUUCUUUUAUCUGGGACGAAAAACUCUGAUUCUUCAGAGCUCGACGGUACCAGAAGAAUAAGCACCGGCUAACUCCGUGCCAGCAGCCGCGGUAAUACGGAGGGUGCAAGCGUUAUCCGAAUUUACUGGGUUUAAAGAGUGCGUAGGUGGGCAGGUAAGUCAGUGGUGAAAUCUCCAGGCUUAACUUGGAAAUUGCCAUUGAUACUAUCUGUCUUGAAUAUCCUGGAGGUAAGCGGAAUAUGUCAUGUAGCGGUGAAAUGCUUAGAUAUGACAUAGAACACCUAUUGCGAAGGCAGCUUACUACGGGAUGAUUGACACUGAGGCACGAAAGCGUGGGGAUCAAACAGGAUUAGAUACCCCGGUAGUCCACGCCCUAAACGAUGGAUACUCGACAUCAGCGAUACACUGUUGGUGUCUGAGCGAAAGCAUUAAGUAUCCCACCUGGGAAGUACGACCGCAAGGUUGAA
rnacentral:rRNA from 1 species